UACGUAGGGACCAAGCGUUUGUUCGGAUUUACUGGGCGUAAAGGGCGCGUAGGCGGCGUGUCAAGUCAAUUGUGAAAUCUCCGGGCUUAACUCGGAGCGGCCAAGUGAUACUGUCGUGCUAGAGUGCGGAAGGGGCUACUGGAAUUCUCGGUGUAGCGGAUGAAAUGCGUAGAUAUCGAGAGGAACACCUGCGGCGAAGGCGGGUAGCUGGGCCGACACUGACGCUGAGGCGCGAAAGCUAGGGGAGCGAACGGG
rnacentral:rRNA from 1 species